GAGCCGCCCGCCCGGGUCAGGGUCGCCCCUGACCCGGGCGUGGGGGCCUUCCCCGCGUACGGAAGCCCGGGGCGGCUCACC
rnacentral:tRNA from 1 species